rnacentral:rRNA from 1 species
GACGAACGCUGGCGGCGUGCCUAAUACAUGCAAGUAGAACGCUGAAGCGAGGAGCUUGCUCUUCUUGGAUGAGUUGCGAACGGGUGAGUAACGCGUAGGUCACCUGCCUUGUAGCGGGGGAUAACUAUUGGAAACGAUAGCUAAUACCGCAUAACAAUGGAUGACACAUGUCAUUUAUUUUAAAGGGGCAAUUGCUCCACUACAAGAUGGACCUGCGUUGUAUUAGCUAGUAGGUGAGGUAACGGCUCACCUAGGCGACGAUACAUAGUCGACCUGAGAGGGUGAUCGGGCAAACCGGGACUGAGACACGGCCCAGACUCCUACGGGGGGCAGCAGUAGGGAAUCUUCGGCAAUGGGGGCAACGCUGACCGAGCAACGCCGCGUGAGUGAAGAAGGUUUUCGGAUCGUAAAGCUCUGUUGUAAGUCAAGAACGAGUGUGAGAGUGGAAAGUUCACACUGUGACGGUAGCUUACCAGAAAGGGACGGCUAACUACGUG